rnacentral:rRNA from 1 species
GGCAAACGGGUGAGUAACGCGUAGGAAACCUGACCUCUAAGAUGGGGACAACAGUCCGAAAGGGCUGCUAAUACCGAAUGUUGCAUGGGGUUCGCAUGAACCUCAUGCCAAAGAUGGCCUCUGCAUAUGCUAUCGCUUAGAGAUGGUCCUGCGUCUGAUUAGCUUGUUGGCGGGGUAACGGCCCACCAAGGCGACGAUCAGUAGCCGGCCUGAGAGGGCGGACGGCCACAUUGGGACUGAGACACGGCCCAGACUCCUACGGGAGGCAGCAGUGGGGAUAUUGCACAAUGGAGGGAACUCUGAUGCAGCGACGCCGCGUGAGUGAAGAAGUACUUCGGUAUGUAAAGCUCUGUCAGCAGGGAAGAAAGGCCCCGUAAGGGGAGAUGACGGUACCUGAAGAAGAAGCCCCGGCUAAUUACGUGCC